CCUACGGGAGGCAGCAGUGAGGGAUAUUGCGCAAUGGGCGAAAGCCUGACGCAGCGACGCCGCGUGGGCGAGGAAGGCCUUCGGGUUGUAAAGCCCUUUUGGCAGGGAAGAGCAAGGACUGUACCUGCAGAACAAGUCACGGCUAACUACGUGCCAGCAGCCGCGGUAACACGUAGGUGGCGAGCGUUAUCCGGAUUCACUGGGCGUAAAGCGCGUGCAGGCGGUUCCGUAAGUCGGACGUGAAAGCUCCUGGCUUAACUGGGAGAGGCCGUUCGAUACUGCGGGACUUGAGGUCGGGAGAGGGACGUGGAAUUCCCGGUGUAGUGGUGGAAUGCGUAGAGAUCGGGAGGAACACCAGUGGCGAAGGCGGCGUCCUGGCCCGCACCUGACGCUAAGACGCGAAAGCGUGGGGAGCAAACAGGCUUAGAUACCCUUGUAGU
rnacentral:rRNA from 1 species